rnacentral:tRNA from 1 species
GCGCAAGUGGUUUAGUGGUAAAAUCCAACGUUGCCAUCGUUGGGCCCCCGGUUCGAUUCCGGGCUUGCAUA